UUAACAUCAUUCUCCUUUUUAUUUUCCCUUCUCUCCUUAUCUUCUCUUCAGAUCUGUAGGCAUGAGUCAGAGGGGAGAGCUGAGAAUUUCGCUAGAAACUUCAAACCCUUGUUCAGCCUUCCGUCCUCUGUCGUCAUCUCUAUCAUUCAAAUGGUCGCCGAUGACUUCAUGAACGCCGAAAAUUUCACUGUGGGAAGGCAUAAAUGGGCCGGUAUCGCUCUCCCCUGUUAUGCGUCAAUCUCCCUUAUUCUGCCAUUUGUGAAAUUGUGCAAGUAAUUCGGGUUUCCUAGCCAUUUUUCAAUUCGUCGCAUGUGGCUGUGAGCUCGCGGGAGUUUUUCUCCUCCUCCUGUGCUGGAAUCGUGCAGUAGACACAAAAUUCCCUUCCCUUCCCUGUUCGUGCGUUGUUGGUCUAUCAGAGAUGCUGCGGUUGGUGCGUGAGUUCUUCUUCCUUUGUUCUGAUCAGCUUUCUUCUCUUCUUCUUCUUUAUGGUUGCUAAUUCAUGUUUGAAAUUUUGCACCCUUCAUCUCGUUAAUUUGGUGUGUGGGCAUUUUAAUGGUUGAAGUCACAGAAUUUUUAGUGUGUUUUGCUGCAGCCCGUGUGUUUUAGAGAAGAGGAAAUUCAAAUGUUGAGCUGAAAAUUCAUCUUAAAGCUUGAUACUAAUUUAUAUAUGGUCAUAAUUUCUGAACUAAAUUAACUUGUUUGGAAUGGUUGAUCUUAAAGCAAUUGUUAGAAUGAAAUUGAAAAAAGAGAGCUUAAAUGAGAUACUUAGAAUUUAAUGUCUAUAAGGUGUUUGCUAAAAGGCUUGUUAGAAGAAAUUGAACUUAACUUUGAAUGCUUUGAAAUUUCAUUGGUUUUUAGGAUUUGUGUGGUUAAUGGUAAAUUGUUGGAUAUUUUAAUUGAACGGUUAGAAUUAAUGCAUCUAAAAUGAUUGGUGCAAAGCCUAAGAGAAAAUUUUGCCUCAAAUAAAUAAAAUGACAUGGCUAAAGCUAUAUGGAGGAGGUUACUAAGAUGAAUGAAAAUACACGGGCCAAUUCUAAAGCAUGAAUUUUAGUUUUAAAAUUUUAGAUGAUGGUGGUUGACUUGGAAUUAUGUUAGAAAUUGGAAAUCUAUUAAAAUUUCAUUUAUUAUAUUUUUUAUAGGGUGUAUGGAAGAAGAGAAUCCUGAUAAAAAUUAAAGAAAGAAUAUUUUGAAAUAUUGGAACUCCAACAAGUAAGUGAAUAGCAUCCCAUUUAAUUUAUCAUGAUUACUAGUCUUUUAUUAAAAUAUUUUACUUUUAUGAAUUAUUCUGGUUUUGAAAAUUAUGGAAUAGUGAUGAAGGAUAAUUAAAUUAUGAUAUGUGCAGUUAUUUUUCCUCAAUAAAUAUACUUCCAAGAUUGAUGAGGGCAUCUUUGUUUAUUAAACUUUAGAACUUCUUAAUUACUCGAUUAAUGCAAGAUUAUACAUUAGUUAUGAAGUAUUAUUUUGACAAGUUAUGAGAUUUGAAAUAAUUCAUGUGAGUUUGGCAUUAAGAAUGAAAUUUUUAUCUCCGAAAUGAUUAUUUUUUUGCAUGUUUGAAAUGUGUUUUUUAAGAGCACUCUAAAUAAAACACUGCUAUUAACAACAAUUCUGUUAGCCAGUAGCGCUGUGGUUAAUAACUAGCUAGUUUGUCUUGUGGGCUUUGUCUUCACGUUUGUUAUUCGUGAGCUUGGUACCCGCAUUUGAUUUGGUAGUCUUAAGUUAAACUUUGUUAGUAUUAUCUUCGUGGACUGUGUGUCCAUGUUUGUUUUUGUAGCUCAUGGUACGUUUUGUUACUUAUCAUCAUGGACUAUGUGUUUAUGUUUGUCUUCGUAGCAUAAACCACGUUUUGUUAUUUAUCCUCAUGGACUAUGUGUCGACAUUUAUUACCUAUUAUUUUGAGUUCUCACAAUUAUAAAUUUUGAUUAACAUGUGUUUUUGAAAUUUCAAUGGUUUCGGUUAGGAAGUGUAUUAUUUGUAUGAAUAAUUUGUUUUCUUUAAGUAUGAUAGAAUAAAGUUCUUCCAAUUUACUCUUAUUUUAUGAUUAAAAAAUUAUAAUUUUUGUUAUAAGUUAUUACAAUGAAUUAUUCCCUUUUCAAUUAUUGUACAUGAUUAUUUAAGUUUAUUAUUUUACUCUUUUAAAUUUUAUUUGUGAGAAUGCUAUUCACUAUGAAAUUUGUUUUGGUCUCAAAUUUAUUAGUUGACAUUGAUCCUAUUGUUCAUCUCUAAAGGGCGUACAAGUGUUCUGGGUGGGAUUUUAUUUAACAUUACGUCCACUUAAUGUAAAUAUUUGGAUUUAUGUAUUUUAAUUCAAAAGUAAGAUUAUGUGCUCCACAUAGUUUAUAGUUA